rnacentral:lncRNA from 1 species
GAAAAAACACCUUGUAAUCUCCAAAAAAGUUUCCUAUUUUUCAAAUGUAUAUUUUUUUUUUCCUAUUACCCUUUCUUUGUUAGCCAUGUUCUUAGCCUCUGUUACGUCCUAAUGAAAGUCCUUCUUGAUUUUAAGAAACUAUAGCCUAAAGUUGAAGUUAGUAAUAUAGAUUAAAAGAUGUGGUGAUGCAUAAAAAUGGAAAUAAAUUUGGCUAGUAAUUCACUAGACUUGAGAUCAUUUCAUUUCUAAGCUGUGGACAUUACUCUUGGUGAGAGUAUGUGAUAUUAUUUGGGGUAUUUUCUUUUGAGAGAGUCGCUCUUAACCAUGAGGUUUUGGAGUUUGACAUAUCAUUCUUAAAAGUCACUUGAUUAAUAUAACUCUGAUAAUUUAUCAUUUUACAUGAUUUUACUUAACUGAUUUGUGUGGGUGUGAUUUUCUAUAAACUGAAGAUAAUGCUUAUACUUUAAUUUGAUUGUUGUCAUUAAUCCAAUUAAAGAAGUAAACACAAUUUUCAAAAAAAAAAAAAAGCCUCCAAUUUGGGUUUGAAAUUUCACUAAAUUUUUAUCGCUUAAAUUGUUAGAGUCUAGCAAUAAGCUGGUUAUGGAGUGUGAUUGACAUUAAAAAGUGUAUAUUUAAUAAGGAUAAAAUUAUCAUUUUUUCACUUAUUGUGUCGAUUAAUGCGCUCAUUAUUCUAAAAUUAUCUAAACACUCCCA